AAACAUCGCCCCUGGAGAAAUUGAUCAAGGGGUCCUGCCUGCCCAGUGGUCUUACGAGAUUAAACGGCUGCGGUACUCUGACCGUGCAAAGGUAGCAUAAUCAUUUGCCUGUUAAUUCCAGGCUGGAAUCAACGGCUAGACGAAGAAAAUACUGUCUUUCUUUAUAAAUUUUGAAUUUAGUAUUUUGGUGAAGAAACCAAAAUAAGAAAGUGGGACGAGAAGACCCUAUUGAGCUUUAACCAAAAUAUUUGUUUAGAAAACAUGUUGAGGUUUGGGUUGGGGCAACUGACUUUUUAAUAAAACAAAAUCAACAAAAAAUGAAUUAAAUCAAUAAGAAAGACCCACAAAUUUUGUGGUAAUUAGAAAAAGUUACCAUAGGGAUAACAGCGUAAUUUUCUUUGAGAGUACACAUUGACAAGAAAGUUUGCGACCUCGAUGUUGGAUCAAGAUGUCCUGAAGGUGCAGCCGCUUUCAAGGGUGGGUUUGUUCAACCCAUAAAAUCUUACGCGAUCUG
rnacentral:rRNA from 1 species